rnacentral:tRNA from 1 species
UAGAAAAUGGUGUAGUGGAAGCACUGAGAGUUUUGAUCUCUCCGGAUGAGGUUCGAGCCCUCUUUUUCUAA